AUUGAACGAUGGCGGCAGGCCUAACACAUGCAAGUCGAACGAGUGGCGGACGGGUGAGUAAUGUCUGGGAAACUGCCUGAUGGAGGGGGAUAACUCCUGGAAACGGUAGCUAAUACCGCAUACCCUCAGAUGUGCCCAGGUGGGAUUAGCUAGUUGGUGGGGUAACGGCUCACCAAGGCGAGGAUCCCUAGCUGGUCUGAGAGGAUGAACAGCCACACUGGAACUGAGACACGGUCCAGGCUACUACGUGAGGGUGAAGUGGGGAAAAUUGCACAAGUGGCUCGAGCCUAAUGCAGCCAGGCCGCGUGUAUGGAGAAGGCCUUCGGGUUGUAAAGUACUUUCAGCGGGGAGGCGUUACCCGCAGAAGAAGCGCCGGCUAACUCCGUGCCAGCAGCCGCGGUAAUAC
rnacentral:rRNA from 1 species